UCUAGGGAGCCCUGUUUUUGUGGUGGCCACUGUUGUUGUGGUGGUUGCUUUUUGUUUUGGGGUUUUCUGUGGGUUGUUGUGGGAAGUUGGCAUGCUGUUGGGGUUCGGGAUAAUUGGUUCCGUGCUGCCUGUGUCUGGAUAUCGCUGUUGUGUGGUGUUUGGGUGUGGUGUUGGUGUGGUGGUUGAGAAUUGUAUAGUGGACGCGAGCAUCUUUGGUUUUUUGUAAGUGUUUAAGAGCGUUCGGUGGAUGCCUUGGCAUGUAGAGCCGAUGAAGGACGUUGUAGCCUGCGAUAAGCCUCGGGGAGUUGGCAAACGAGCUGUGAUCCGAGGGUGUCCGAAUGGGGAAACCUGGCCAGAGUUAUGUCUGGUUACCUGCGUCUGAAUGUAUAGGGCGUGUGGGGGUAA
rnacentral:misc_RNA from 1 species